rnacentral:lncRNA from 10 species
AGGUGUUGAAAGCCUGGCCCCAGAAAAACUGCUCACACUGCAGAAGCCAGAUGUCAGAGGAACUAUGUGCAUUGCAGAAGUGGGAAAUCUGAGUAGACUGAAAAAAAUAAGUUCUAAUUGGAUCUCAGUCAAAAAGAACAUGUCAUGGGCACCUGCAUGAAAUAAGUCAAAUAAGCAUUUCAAAAAUUUAUGGUUAGUAUACCUGUUAUAUGAGUUAAAUGUAUUAUAAAAACUGAAAAUAUAUAUUUAUAGUUAUACUUAUAAAUUACUGGUUUUUAGAAUGGAG